CUGCUGCUAUCUUGUUUGAAAAUUGAGGAUCUUGAUUAUGUUUAUUACCUACCUAAUAAGCUUCUGUCUAAUGGCAUAUUAAGUAAUCAAAAGGGUAAAGAAGCAAGAUAUUCGAUUUCUUUUGGUGUCUGACUUGGGUCAACUCAACCCGAUCAUGUCUCAACCUAUGACAUCUUGGUCUCUGACUUGGGUCAACUCAACCCGAUCACGUCUCAAGCUGUAUCAAAAUUAUUCGUUUUGACCCGUUAUACAACUUACCUAACCCAAUAAUAAUUUUUUUUUUACCUCAGUGUAUUAAGUUUGCAUAUAGCAGUGCUAUGUUCAGAUUUUAUUCAUUUUCGAGCAAUUUCAUUUAAAUCUUUAAGAUCCAUCUAUCUAUCUAUCUCUGCAGUUAUAACAUGAUCAGACAGGAACAUGAUCACAUGUGCGUGCAGCAACUUGAUACAUAAUAUUUAUACACAACACUUUUAUGGUACACACAUGUAUGUAUGUCUCAGUAACAAACAAGAUGAGCGACUAACCCCCAAAUCAGCAAAAACCAUGGUAAGAAUCACUUAUUAGGGGAUCCACAAUACGAAAACAGAAUUCAUGGGUGUUUCAAAUAAUACAAAAUUACAAAGUAAAAACUCAUUCAUGCUCAAAAUCGAAGAAAUCCAGUACUAAAAGUAAGAGGACUUACAAACUGGGAUAUCUCAGUGGCUUC
rnacentral:lncRNA from 1 species